rnacentral:rRNA from 1 species
AUGAACACCAAUUCUGAUGGGUGGCGCGCGCAGAUGCAUGCCCUUAUCGAUAUGGUUCCUCCGAAGCCUCGGGAACCAGAAGCAGAAGACAAGAAGAAGGAAAGAGUCGCAGUCGGUGCUCCUUUCACGUGGAUUACAUCGAACUUUGGUACUUGCCCUGAGGAUGCUAAAGAGGACACGGUGAAGACAUAUGCUCGUGUCUACAUGUGGUACAUGAUAUCCAGGACUAUGUUUGCUGAUGGCACAGGCAAGAAUGCUCCAUGGAUGUGGCUGAAGGCGUUGACCGUCUUCGAUAGCAAAUGGAGUUGGGGUUCGGCGACACUGGCUUACUUGUAUCGACAGGUAUGA